GGCCGGGAGUGCGCAUCGGAUACAACACCCGCAAGGGGAAACAUGCGCACGGUCUCACAGAGCCGUUCUGACCCUCCCGGCCGCCAGAGC
rnacentral:ncRNA from 1 species